CGUGUAGGCGGCCCCUUAAGUCCUGCGUGAAAUCCUGCGGCUCAACCGCAGACGGUCGUGGGAAACUGGAGGGCUAGAGUGCGGGAGAGGAGAGUGGAAUUCCCGGUGUAGCGGUGAAAUGCGCAGAUAUCGGGAAGAACACCCGUGGCGAAGGCGGCUCUCUGGAACGCAACUGACGCUGAGACGCGAAGGCGUGGGGAGCAAACA
rnacentral:rRNA from 1 species